GGUAGGAUGGCUGAGCAAGCGGUGGGUUGUAGCCCCAUACACAGAGGUUUAAGCCCUCUUCCUGUCA
rnacentral:tRNA from 1 species